CGCUUUCACGCUCUCUGUCCCAGGCAAGGGAGCUGUAAGUGCGCAUGCUCCGUACAAGCCCCAGCCGGUGGGUGGGAGAGCGAAGCUGCAGCAGUCGUCUGCGGGUCACCUGGCUGCAGAGUGACAUCCCUGUUUCACUCCAGCACAUCCCAUCCUCCUGUGGGACAGGGGAGAAAAAUGGCUGCAGUGGAGCAAGUUCAGGGGCCAGUGACCUUUGAGGAGGUGGCUGUGUAUUUCACCAGGGAAGAGUGGGCUCUGCUGGGCCCCAUUCAGAGAGCCCUCUACAGAGCCGUCAUGCAGGAGAACUAUGAGAAUGUGACCUCGCUGGGUAACGAUUCCUGUACUCUCUGUUCUUGGAAGUGGAAAUGAAGAGUUAAGGUUCAUGCCACCUUCACAA